rnacentral:rRNA from 1 species
CCCUUAGAUGGUCUGGGCGGCACCCGCGCUACAAUGAUGCAUUCAAAAAGUCUUCUGACCUUAGAAAGUUGGGUAUUCUCCAAAGUGCAUCGUGAUGGGAAUAGUUUAUUGCAAUUUUUAAUCUUGAACGAGGAAUUCCUAGUAAGUACAGGUCAUCAACUUGUGUUGAUUACGUCCCUGCCCUUUGUACACACCGCCCGUCGCUCCUACCGAUUGAAUGAUCCGGUGAAUAAUUCGGACUGCAGCAGUGUUCAGUUCCUGAACGUUGCAGCGGAAAGUUUAGUGAACCUUAUCACUUAGAGGAAGGAGAAGUCGUAACA